AUACGGAGGAUGCGAGCGUUAUCCGGAUUUAUUGGGUUUAAAGGGUGCGUAGGCGGUUUGUCAAGUCAGCGGUGAAACGCAAGGGCUUAACCCUUGACCUGCCGUUGAAACUGAUUGACUAGAAUGCGGGUGCUGUGGGAGGAAUGUGUGGUGUAGCGGUGAAAUGCAUAGAUAUCACACAGAACACCGAUUGCGAAGGCAUCUCACAAAUCCGUGAUUGACGCUGAGGCACGAAAGUGUGGGGAUCAAACAGGAUUAGAUACCCUGGUAGUCCACACUGUAAACGAUGAUAACUCGCUGUCGGCGAUACACAGUCGGUGGCCAAGCGAAAGCGAUAAGUUAUCCACCUGGGGAGUACGACCGCAAGGUUGAAACUCAAAUGAAUUGACGGGG
rnacentral:rRNA from 1 species